rnacentral:rRNA from 1 species
CCUUUUGAGCUCGGUCUCGUGGGUUUUGAAGAGUUUCAAAGCCUUUGGAUUCGCGGGAUUGGGAUCUCUUGGCGUACUUUUUCGUACGGUUAGUCAACAUCGGUUUUGAAUGUCAUAAAAUGACUGGAGGAAUGUAUGCUACGAUCUCGUAUUGAAGUGUAUAGCCAUUGGUAGAUGUGAUGUUUGAGACCGAGGAUUGCAACGGAUACCCUU